AUAUCUGGUUUUCUAAAAAAUAAAUUUAAUUUAAAUUAAACAUUUAAAAAUGUUUAAAGCCAGAAAAUUAGAGUAAAUUUUAAUUUUCAAAAUUGAAUUUUUUAAAGAGUUUUAUCAUUCUUUUGUUUAAAUAGGCCUAAUAGUAGCUAAUUUUUUAAAGUAUUUUAACUAAACCAAAACUCUAUAGAUUUUUAAAUUACUCUUAAUAUUUUAUAUUAGAAAAUAAAUUUAAACUAUUUAAGUUUAUCUUCUAUGAAAUUAUUAGUAUAGAUUACUGUAUUAUUAAUAAUUCUUUUUAUUAUAAAUAUUAAUUUAUAAUUUUACUCAAUUUUUCUUAAAAAACUCGGCAAAACUUAUUCCCGACUGUUUAACAAAAACAUCUCCACAUGAAAAAAUAUUUGGUAUAACCUGCCCACUGAAUUCUUUAAAUGGCCGCGGUAUUUCUAACUGUGCCAAGGUAGCAU
rnacentral:rRNA from 1 species